rnacentral:rRNA from 1 species
CACGUAGGGCGCGAGCGUUGUCCGGAAUUAUUGGGCGUAAAGAGCUCGUAGGCGGCCUGUUGCGUCCGCUGUGAAAGCCCGGGGCUUAACCCCGGGUCGGCAGUGGAUACGGGCAGGCUAGAGGUAGGUAGGGGAGAAUGGAAUUCCCGGUGUAGCGGUGAAAUGCGCAGAUAUCGGGAGGAACACCGGUGGCGAAGGCGGCCCACUGGAUCGGUACUGACGCUGAGGUGCGAAAGCGUGGGGAGCAAACAGG